AGGGGAUCUGGGGUGAGGGUGGUCCUCAAUGUCACUUUUACCUCUCUGCUUUUCCCCUCCCUUCUAGAACCCACUGGGAGGAAGAACAGAUGCCGACCCCCUUCCCUGCGCCCCACCGUAGCACAGAGAGAAGGCAGUACCUCAGAUGAGAAGAGCAUGUAUUAGGAAGCAAUAGACAUCUCUGUAGGAAGAGCCUUAGCACACAGCAGAUGUGGUCAUGACAACAUGCCUUUUCCUCCACAUGGAAUGAACUGUUUCUUUGGGAAAAGAUUUCCCAAGAGCAAAGAAGUGAGAAACAUGAUGUUAUUCACUUGACAACAGACUUCUCUGAAGACAGCGGUGCCUGUGACAGUGGACAUGGUGGCCCAAGACACCUGCUGCCCUAGGCCCAUGCUGGCAGGGGCUGGUGAGUGGUGCAGACAGCCUGGGCAGCAGGGCCUGGUUGCUCUCCUUGUCUCUGAUUCAUCUCUUCUUGGCCCGAAGGCUGUGGCCCUCGGGCCAGCUUGAUGACCACAGGCCAAAUUACACAUCACUCCCCUUUGCUCUGGGGUGAGGGUCCCUUAUGGUCACAGGAAUAUCUACCAACCAGGAUCUGGAGUUCCUCUUUGUGCUAAUUAUCCUUUGAGGUAGAAAGGUCAUGCAGAAGGCCCGUUUUCUCCUCUAGGAUCCAUGCAACAAUGGUUAUGAGUAUCUGGCAUCAGCUUCCCCCUGUCUAUAAACUUUGUGCCUGCUACUAACAUGAGCAUUGGGAAAUGGCUGAUGGGGAUUUAUUUUUUUUUCAAGAAAUGUGCCACCCCUUUUCCUUUAUUGAGGAGAAUGUAUUGCAGAAAGUUCCUUAUCCUGUUCCUGAAGUGCAUCUCUGAAGGAGCCUGUCCUUUCUCUGGAGGGAGGCUCAGAGAACUUGUCCCCACAGUGUCUCCUGUUUUCUUGACCUGGGCAGGAGGCACACCCACCAGCAUGGGAGGGCUUCCCUCCUGAACACUGUCCUUCCUGUAUUCCUGACCUGGGCACACACAGCCCUCUCUCUUGUCAAUGGGACCAGCCAUGUUCCUCUUGUCCUUCCAUGGGCCCUGCAAGUUCAGUAUCUUGGGCUCUUGCAGGUCCUGGCUGCUCUUUUUGCUGAUUAGGAGAUGACACGUCCCCGGGGAUGUUGACACACUGCUGCUGGAUAUGUUCAGGAAGGUGGACAGAGUUUUCUGGGAAGCCAGAUGUCAAGAGAACAGUCCUAAAGGAACACACCAGUGGCACCGUCUUGAAGAUCUUGAGGCUGGUUCUCUCGCUCAGCAUCUGUUCUCAGGCAGGAGUCUUCUGGGUCUUGGGAAGUGGAACUUCAAGAUGAGGAGGGGAUUUACUGGUCCCAGAACUCCUCAGAUUCACAUGAACAGUUUGGGAGUUGGACAUCUUACUGGUUCACAUGAUGACUACCUCUUCAGAGGGCUCCUCCUGAGCCUUCUCUGUCUCCCCGAUUUCUUUGGCCUUUGAAGUUUGGGACUCUCCAUUGAUCUAGGGUUGACAUGCUGAGGCACGGUCUUGUGAGCCCACACUCCUCUCUCCAGUGGCUCCUGUCUGUCUGCCCUAUUCUGGGCUUGGACUUGGCUCCAGGCUGCCCCUCCCAGACCCCAGGAUGGUAUUGCUCUGCCAAGUUGUGGCCACAAGAACUUAACUGGGGGCACUGAAAGGGCAGGCUGCCCCCAUGUCCAGUUGGAGGUCCUCUGAGGGCCCACAGUUGUCACCAGAUGGAGUCCUGCUCUGACCCUCAAGUGAGGUUCCAGGGAGAGGAUUCUUCAGGGUGAGACCUUUCUGAGUGGGUUCUCCCAGGACCUUGGCAUCGUGGACAAAGGAAUCAGCCCUGGAGUCACAGAAGGCUGAUGAGGGAGGGGCAAACAAAGGAAGGGCUGAGGCUUGAGACUUUCUCAACUUGAAGAGAUUUAUGUGCUUGAGGACCUUGAAGGGCAGGCCCCCCUGUGCCUCACACAGAGACUUUAAUGUGUGCUGCCAGCACCUGAGGAGUGCCGGCGUCCAGGAGGGAGGGCUCCGUGAAGUGUUCCUGCAGGUCUCCCCACCUUUCAAGGAUGGUCCAUCCCCAGGUUCCUUGUGAGUAUUUGAGUUUUC
rnacentral:lncRNA from 1 species